GGUCUGGCUUUUUUCCCUGUUUUUACCAGGUCUCCAGAGGAAAGAUAAAGCAGCGUUUCUCCCCGAUUCAUCAGUCAAGCCACUGCUAAAAGCAACGGAGCGGUUGCCACCUUGGGCAAACGUCAGGCAGCACAGCGGAGCCCCAGGGCCGCCCUCCGCAUCGCGCAGAAAGCAACAGCCUGGCCCCUCUGCCCUGCCCAGCCCAACCCAGCCCAGCCCAGCCAGGCACCUGCGCCCGCCCUGCCCCCGUGCCCUGGCCGGCGCCUGUAUGCGGCAGCUCCUGCGCGGUACCUUUGUAUCGCUCCAGAACAUCCUCGUAGGCCUGCAGGUACUCCUGCUCCUCGGCGUGGAAGGAUGGGAUCAUCUAAGGCUGUACACAAAAGACAAUAUGGACUGAUUCUUCUUUCAGUUCCAGCAAAGUAAAUCUGAAGCAACUCUACUGAAGUCAAAAGUUCUUAUGAACCACUAUUGAACAAAAACAGCUGGCUCCAAACGAGAGGAGCUCUAUGUUAUCUGCAGACCAAAUAAACUCAGAAUAGUCAUGCCCAAUCCAGGAUGAUGAUGUUAGCUCAUAGCGCUGGGCAUUUAAACAGUGAAUGAAACAGAUUAUUGACAUUAAGGUGAUGAGCUUCCACUAGAGGCUGUGUUUCUUCAAGGCGAGGUGCUACACGUCUUCUAGCAUGACGAGGACUUGAUCUAAAACCCUGUGACAUAGGAAAAGCAACGGAUGAACAGUACCUGAAGCAGCGGGCUAUAAGAAGAGAAAAGACUUAUUCUUGCAUAUAAUACAUUAAACCAGGACACAGGAAAAGGUUUAACUCUGCCGUGGACUUCAUAGCUCAAGAAUGGCUGAGUCGCUGGAGAAUUAUGCAUCUUUUCUGGAUCUUCAGGCCGCUGAUUCCUAAACUAAGGUGGUGAUUCAUUUUUAACCCAGUACAAUUGAGAGACAAACCAAACCAAACACAAAACCUCAAUUGGAUGUCUAAAAAUAUAUUAAGAAAUGUUCUUCUACACAGUACUACACCAUCAGUUUUAUUCUACACAGCAAUACAGUUGCCAAGUAGCAUGAGAGACCACACCAUAAAUAUUCUUUCUUAAAAUUGCUGCAUCUUAAAAGUGUCCAACAGAGUCAGUACCAGAUGUUUCAGAAAAAGGCACAACCAUGAAUGUCACACCUUCCUGCCCUGAGCCUCUCACCUUCAUCCCUGCUAGUUACAGAUUUUGAUAAACCCUAAAUUAUGAGAUCAUAUAUUCUCUGUAAACAUCUUCCUAGGAUUAACUGUCAUAACCUUGGAUAGUCUUGUUAACUAUGUAAGUGCACAAGGCCUUUUUGAAUUAAUAUUCAUUUUGUUUAAAUUCCUGUGGCAAUAAGCUCCAUAUCUUCCUUUUAUGUUCUGUUAAAAAAAAUAUUUUCUUUAAUCAGUAUUGAAUUUUCCACCUGUCAGUUUCCUAUGAUACUGAUUUAUUCUUGGAUUAGGAUCCACGCAAAACAGAAGCUCUUGCUGCACCUUCACUAUCAUAUUUAUUAUUUGACAUACUUUUAAUGAAUUCCUUCUUACUUGUCUCCUUUCUAAAGUAUACAUCCAAUUCCUCUCAGUUUCUCAUCAUAAAAGAGCUUGCCCAUGUCCCUAAAACCAGUAGUUCUCAACCUUUUAAGACUCGACACCCCUCAUUCGAUUCAAGGCACCCCUCAGAAAAUGACAGCUCUUAACUUUCACUCAUUUUUUUGACUGUGGACAGAUAAUAUGAGCAUUCCUCUGUGGCAAAGAACUCAGAAAUACCACAACAGGUCAGACUAUUUUUGACACUAUCGAUUUCUAUUUGAAAUUUGUAGGAGUAGCUUGUGAAUCAUGUAUAGGUGUUUGCACACCUAACACUGCUAAUCUUAUGUGGCGGCCUGGCUGAAAAUUACUGCCCUAAGCAUUUCUUUUAUGCUUCUCACAACCCCUUCUAACUUAGCAGCAGCAUUUUUUAGAUGUGAUGCAUUGCAUAGGAGUCCAAGGCUGCACCAUUGAUUUAUAUAAUGGCAUUACCCUAUUUUCCAUCCUUUUGUAUUGUUCAUCCUGAUACUUAGGUCUCAGAAUUUAUUUUUCUUUUUGAGCUCAGGUCUUCAAUGAAUCGUAUAAAAUGAAUCCAAGGGCCCUUUCAUGAGAUGGCAGCAGCUAUUCAGACUUUCCCAGUAAUGUACGUUGAUUUGCAAUAUCAACUCUGAACUUCCUUUGUCAUUACAAUGCCAUUCAUUUAUCUUGAUAAAGAUCCCUUCAGUCUCUUCAGGGUCCAACUAACCCAGGGGUGGGCAAAAUGCGGCUCAUGGGCUGGAUGCGGCCCACUAAACCAUUCUAUCCGGUCCGCGGGACCCCUAAAAAAUUUAGAAAAUUUAUAUUUAUCUGCCCCUGGCUGCCUGUCAUGCGGCCUUUGAUGGCUUGCCAAAACUCAGUAAGUGACCCUCUGCCUGAAAUAAUUGCCUGCCCCUGAACUAACCUAAGCAUCUGUGUGUAACUUGAAAAUGCUGUUACCUCACUGGUUGUUCCUGUCUCUUUAAUAAAUAUAAACAUGAUUUAGGAUCUUGGAAGAAAGACUCAUAACAAUCUUCUUUCCUUUUCAUAUUAUUAUUUUCCAAAUCAAACAUUUUGAAUAAUACAUUGAACUUUUUUCUUUUUUCUUCUCCUCUCUACAUUUUCAUUAAUUAUUC